rnacentral:lncRNA from 1 species
GCAAAAACUCAAAAGUCGAAAAACAGCCAGCAGUGAGGUUGUAGCAUUCGACAAAACAUCACGUCAUUAUAAGGACCCUCCGCAGCUUUCAAUCAAAGUCUAAGAAAGCUCGGAAUGUCCUCAAAGGUGGAAAAACACCAAAUCCUUAGCAAAAGACCUAGCCAAGAGCCGGGCAGCAAGGACAGCAUGGCCAAAAGUGAAAAAGCCCUGUCCUCCUUAGGCAUCACAACACGGCCAGAAGGGACAAAACCUUCAAACCUGACAAAGACCUGAAGACAAUCAGGCAUCAGGGGCUAUACAACUUCUGCCAAAAGGCAGCGAAGGUUUCACAUUCACAAGGUAAACCUCAAACAACAAUUACACAACCUUCGCCAAGAUAAGGUCGAAGGUAGGUAGACCUCAACAACAAUUACAUAACCUUCACCAAGAUAAGGUCGAAGGUAUCCUACUAAUCCAAGCAGGCCUCUAACACACAAAGUGCGAAAAUAAAGCAAAGCUUACGAUAAUCCUCAGUCAGGUAAAGCAGGACCAACUACUACAACAAUCACAACAACCAAUAAUAACUUGAUAGUAAAUUCCAACCUAACAAAGUACAUGCAAUAAAUGCAUGAAAGUCUAUAAAACCAGGCUCACCUUGCCCCCACCCUCAGUCAGGACCAACACACAAAGUUUCAAACAGUCAGUGCAAGCCUAGCACUCGCAAAGGAAAAAACCUAGGCCACCAUGGAGGUAGGGAUUAGCCUCAUAGCACCACAAAAAAUUGGUAUUGCACGAAGCUUUGUAAGGCUACAGCUGCGGCAUUGUGAUGAACAUCGACCACAGAGUCAUGUACAGCCACAUUGAAAGCACCGCAAGCCAGAAUCAGAGGUCUCUGAAGGGCAUCGCACGAAGUCUCGUAACAUCCCUUCAGAACCUCUGACUCACCUACCCGAAGGUUACCUUCGACAACACUCCACGGGAGUUGAACAAAGACAAAGAAGAGCGCAAUUCAGCAGAGGCUCCUUUGCACCAAGACAAGCGAAGAGCCUAAGGUCAAGGAGCAGCAAGCCUACGCAAAACUCAUAUCUACCAGCGCCUUCGCUACAUCGAGCAUCAAAGAAUUAGUCGCAACAGGAACACAAAGAUCCUUAGGAUCAACGCUCGCUGCGCAUUCAACAAACACAUCUAAUCGCACUCAAAUAUCCGAAGGUUGUAGUGAAAACAACACUAGGUUGCGAAGGUUGCAACAAAACACUUAGAAAAACUUCUGUCUUUAUUACUGAUAAACAGUAUGAGCAACAAUUAUUUACAUCUAAAUAAAAUUUUUUACUUAUGAUAAGCUAAGUGACCUAAGAUCCUUUGUCAACAUAACUGGCAAAGGAUCUAAGAGUCACGUACAAAUCUCACACAUGAGUCACCAAAGAUCCUAAAAUCGCUACAAUAAUCCCGAGCAAUAUAAUCGACCAAAUCGUCCACAUCGAGUGAAGGUCGCGCGCUUCUCCACCAAUCUACUAACCAACCACUUGCGUACAAGUCGCCCCGCUUGAACGUUACUGGAGUCACAUAACUUCCUUCGACAAAACCCGGAGGAAGAACGUCAUGCCUAGCAGGGGAUCGAACAACCUGCGUAGAAAAACCAGCUCAAAAAACCAGCGAAUCAAGCGAAGGACCCAAGCAAAUUCGGAAAGCUUAGAUCCCGAACCUCCGCGCGCUCAGGCAGAAAACGCUCAUACAUGUCGUCAAGAUCCUCCAGCCAAAAAGAUUCCUCCACCUCCUCGCCAAAGAUGCGAAGGAUAGGAUACGGCAACUGCGUAAACAAACCAAACCAAAUCACAAAAAAUAUAUAUACACGAAAAGCCUAAAACAAAGAAAAAACAAAACAAAAACAACCACCUAAGCCGGAGGCCAUGAACCUCGGUACGCAAGCGACCGGACGAAUUCAGAUCUUUCGUCAUCAAGGUCAUAACCAACAAAUUCAAACAUAUCCACCACCCUCAUGUUAGGAAAAGCAAUCCGCCAGUAUUCCCACAACUCGCCAGAAGCAUAAAUUCCAUUGUCGAAAAUUGAAAGGGGAGUAUCGCAAUGACCCUGCGCACGUCCUCCGCUAGAGACCUGCGUAGGAUAAAGGCGUAAAACAAAGGUUUAUCCAAAAACAACCCAAUAUAUUAUAUUUCCAACAAAGUCUUUACAAGUUAAUCAGAACCUCCGGCCUUUCUUACAAAAAAGCGUCACAUGCGCAGCAGACGCAAAAAACUAUGAAAAAACUACAAACUAAAAAGCCUCACACCUGAGGCGGAGGAGGAGCAGGAGCUUCGGGUUCUUCUGAAGCCUUGGCACCAGAUCCCUCUGGAGCUUUAGCACCAGCUUCAGGAAUCUCUGCUUCAGCCUAGGUCGAAGGACGCGCUUCACUAGGGGGCACGAGGGACCGGCCUUGUCAACCUUAGUUUUCUUGGCAACUUCCUGCAAAACUAUAAGCUUGAGAAACAUAGAAAGUAGCAACACCAAAAAAAUAGCCAAACUGCAUGUACCUCAGCAUGGCGAGCCUCCGCCAUCUUCUUCGCCUCAGCCCCCCCGAACCUAAUCCAGAACAACCUGAUAAAGUUCCGGACAGACUUGUGCAGGCUCGAGGUGCCCUCGCCAACAUCCUCCGCCGACCCGAACUCCUCCUUGGCAACUUCCUCCGCGUGAGAGCAACCUCCGCGGCGCAAAAGCCUAGCGAAGGAGCUAACCGCAGCCAAAGCCCCAAAAUCAACAGCACCCCCGACAAAGUCAGGGAGCAUGCAGAUAUGAGACUUCAGCCAUGUGAGGCUAGCCCCAAUGUCGCCGC